rnacentral:rRNA from 1 species
GGAGGGUGCAAGCGUUGUUCGGAAUUAUUGGGCGUAAAGAGCGUGUAGGCGGUUCGGUAAGUCAGAUGUGAAAGCCCUGGGCUCAACCCAGGAAGUGCAUUUGAAACUACCAGACUUGAGUACGGGAGAGGAGGGGGGAAUUCCCGGUGUAGAGGUGAAAUUCGUAGAUAUCGGGAGGAAUACCAGUGGCGAAGGCGCCCUCUGGACCGAUACUGACGCUGAGACGCGAAAGCGUGGGGAGCAAACAGGAUUAGAUACCCUGGUAGUCCACGCCGUAAACGAUGAGCACUAGGUGUAGCGGGUAUUGACCCCCCUGCUGUGCCCGUAGCUAACGCAUUAAGUGCUCCGCCUGGGGGACUACGGUCGCAAGACUAA